AUGCGUAUACGCAGUGGUUUAUAUUAUUAUUAUAUCAAACGACGUUGUGUACUGUUUUCACUCGUCAUUUGGCACUCGACCAUCUCUAUAGGCAAAUCGCGUGUACGCCAACGCAGCUGCAGCGAGCACACGGUGUCGUUGUACUUUAUAACAUAGUUGUGUGUACACAUAUGUAUAUAGAAUAUAGAUACUGAACUAUCCGAGUACGUUUUAAAUUGGUCUCAUCGAAUCCAACCGCCCGACCAUGGACGACGAAGAGUUUGAAGAAUCUAUGCGCAAAGUCAAUCUCAUAGGUGGAAUUAUUAAGGAUAUGAGUUCGAAAAAUGAAGCCAAAUCCAAAGUAGGCAUGCUCCGGGCAGAAGAGCUGUUGGGUAAUGGUGAAAAAGUGUGGGACGAAAGUUCACUGAAAACUGUGCAUAAUGGUACGAAGAUAAACCGUAAGGCUUUCGAAGACCUAGGAAAACCCAAAGAUGAAAUACCUGCUGAUGCCGCUGGAUUUAUGGCACACGUGGAAAGAGAUGCAAAACAGAGGUCCGAAGCUAAAAAAAAGGAAAUAAAACGUUCAGACUAUUUGAAAUCGAUGGGCAAUUGCGAAUACCGUAAAGGGAACUAUGAAAAAGCUCUCAUCUACUACAAUCAAGCCAUCGACGUGCGCAAAGACAGCUGCGUACUAUUCACCAACCGGGCGCUAGCCAAGAUCAAUUUGGGUUUGAUGGACGAAGUCGGCGAAGAUUGCGAUCGCGCACUACGUCUCAACGAACGAUCGCUGAACGCUGUCCUUUACAAGGCUGAAGCGUUAUGGUGGCUAGGCGAUAUCCAAACUGCUAAGGAAUUGUUAGAAACCGCUCUCAAAACUCAUCCUGAUCAGACGAAACGCAUUCAAGACUAUCAAAAUAAAUUGAGCAACAGUCGUUAAUAUACCCAUGCUGUAAAUUUCGUCAAUUCUUCACCACCUUCGUGCACAUUAUAAUGCACAAAUGCAGUGAACCAUAUAUUAAAGGCUUUUGGCGUUUUUUAUGUUUAAGAUGUUUAGGGGUUCGUCGUUGAGGAAUUUGGUGAGGCGUUUGGGAUAUUGCAUUUUGAUCUUCCUUCGUUAAACUGACGGUAUUCAAAUAGUAGAUGUUUGAUGGAGAUUUCAGAACCACGUAGUGUGCAUACUACAGAUUUUAUUUUUUUUUCUAUAAAAUGCUUGUAUCAUAAUUAUUCUUUAAGUGAUUCAUUUUUUUAAUUGAAAAUG